rnacentral:rRNA from 1 species
AUGACAUGGGCACCACCGGCCAACCCGGCCACCGACAUGGAACAGAAGCCACGACGGCACAUGCCAACGGAUGGCCACACGCGCAAGCAACCGACUGCUCCGACUUUGACGACGAGCAACACAAGGGAAAUAUGCAAGACUUGCGCCGAGCGUGCCCUCCGCAAACGACCACUGAAUGCCUGUCAUCGUCACCACCUGAACUCGCUCCAACGCAGCUCCGACUUCCAAGCAACUACGGAAGAGCACCUCGGACACGCCGGGAAGAACCGACCGCCGAAGACCACGCCGCGACCCAAGCUGGUUGUGGAAGAGAACAUCUGA